rnacentral:rRNA from 1 species
GAUCCUUCGAUGUCGGCUCUUCCUAUCAUUGAGAAGCAGAAUUCUCCAAGUGUUGGAUUGUUCACCCGCUAACAGGGAACGUGAGCUGGGUUCAGACCGUCGUGAGACUAGGUUAGUUUUACCCUACAGAUAAAUUUAAAAUGUUAGUUACCCCGAUAGUAAUAGAAGUAAGUACGAGAGGAACCCUUCUAUCGGAUAAUUGGUGUAUGCUUUUCUGCGAGAGCAGAGUGAAGCGAAGCUACAAUCCGAUUGGUUACAGCUGAACGCCUCUAAGUUGGUACCAUGUCUAGAAAAGGAGUGACAUUAAGAAAUAUGUGGCGAAUGGAACAAGCAGUUAACAAUACACCAAAACAAAACAAUUUGGGCGUUAGUUUGAUUAGACUAUUGUUUGGUCAUCUAGCGUCUAGAAUCACAAAGAAAACACCAUUUCGCCAUGGAAAUAAAUAGAAGACGACUAUGAAAGAAAGAGGAAGUGUAAGUGUUAGAGUAGCCAUAGUUGCUACGAUGCAUUGAGCUCAGCC